rnacentral:rRNA from 1 species
AUGAACGCUGGCGGCGUGCCUAAUACAUGCAAGUCGAGCGAACGGACGAGAAGCUUGCUUCUCUGAUGUUAGCGGCGGACGGGUGAGUAACACGUGGAUAACCUACCUAUAAGACUGGGAUAACUUCGGGAAACCGGAGCUAAUACCGGAUAAUAUUUUGAACCGCAUGGUUCAAAAGUGAAAGACGGUCUUGCUGUCACUUAUAGAUGGAUCCGCGCUGCAUUAGCUAGUUGGUAAGGUAACGGCUUACCAAGGCAACGAUGCAUAGCCGACCUGAGAGGGUGAUCGGCCACACUGGAACUGAGACACGGUCCAGACUCCUACGGGAGGCAGCAGAAGGGAAUCUUCCGCAAUGGGCGAAAGCCUGACGGAGCAACGCCGCGUGAGUGAUGAAGGUCUUCGGAUCGUAAAACUCUGUUAUUAGGGAAGAACAUAUGUGUAAGUAACUGUGCACAUCUUGACGGUACCUAAUCAGAAAGCCACGGCUAACUACGUG